CGGCGGACGGGUGAGUAACGCGUGGGUAACCUGCCUCAUACAGGGGGAUAACAGUUAGAAAUGACUGCUAAUACCGCAUAAGCGCACAGGACCGCAUGGUCCGGUGUGAAAAACUCCGGUGGUAUGAGAUGGACCCGCGUCUGAUUAGUUAGUUGGCGGGGUAACGGCCCACCAAGGCGACGAUCAGUAGCCGGCCUGAGAGGGUGAGCGGCCACAUUGGGACUGAGACACGGCCCAGACUCCUACGGGAGGCAGCAG
rnacentral:rRNA from 1 species